GCGAAAACUUUACAAUGCGGGAAACCGUGAUAAGGGAACUCCGAGUGCCCGUAAAAUCGGGCUGUCCAUCUGUUUAAAUAACAGGUGAAGAAAGGGCCGGGCAAGACCGGUGCCAGCCGCCGCGGUAAUACCGGCGGCUCGAGUGGUGGCCACUAUUACUGGGCUUAAAGCGUUCGUAGCUGGUCUGUUAAGUCUCUGGGGAAAUCUACUGGCUUAACCGUUAGGCUUUCGGGGGAUACUGCCAGGCUUGGAACCGGGAGAGGUAAGAGGUACUACAGGGGUAGGAGUGAAAUCUUGUAAUCCCUGUGGGACCACCUGUGGCGAAGGCGUCUUACCAGAACGGGUUCGACGGUGAGGGACGAAAGCUGGGGGCACGAACCGGAUUAGAUACCCGGGUAGUCCCAGCCGUAAACGAUGCUCGCUAGGUGUCAGGCAUGGCGCGACCGUGUCUGGUGCCGCAGGGAAGCCGUGAAGCGAGCCACCUGGGAAGUACGGCCGCAAGGCUGAAACU
rnacentral:rRNA from 1 species